rnacentral:rRNA from 1 species
UACGAAGGGGGCUAGCGUUGCUCGGAAUCACUGGGCGUAAAGGGUGCGUAGGCGGGUCUUUAAGUCAGGGGUGAAAUCCUGGAGCUCAACUCCAGAACUGCCUUUGAUACUGAGGAUCUUGAGUUCGGGAGAGGUGAGUGGAACUGCGAGUGUAGAGGUGAAAUUCGUAGAUAUUCGCAAGAACACCAGUGGCGAAGGCGAGUCCCUGGACAACUCCUGACACUGAGGCACGAAAGCUAGGGGAGCAAACAGGAUUA